rnacentral:rRNA from 1 species
AUUGAACGCUGGUGGCAGGCCUAACACAUGCAAGUCGAACGAGUUGCGGACGGGUGAGUAAUGUCUGGGAAACUGCCUGAUGGAGGGGGAUAACUACUGGAAACGGUAGCUAAUACCGCAUACCAUCAGAUGUGCCCAGAUGGGAUUAGCUUGUUGGUGGGGUAACGGCUCACCAAGGCGACGAUCCCUAGCUGGUCUGAGAGGAUGACCAGCUACACUGGAAAGUAUACACGGUCCAGAUGCCUACGGGAGGCAGCAGGGGGGAAUAUUUCACAAUGGGAGCCAGCCUGAUGCAGCCAUGCCGCGUGUAUGAAGAAGGCCUUCGGGUUGUAAAGUACUUUCAGCGGUGAGGCGUUACCCGCAGAAGAAGCACCGGCUAACUCCGUGCCAGCCGCCGCGGUAAUUC